rnacentral:lncRNA from 1 species
CUCAGUUCAAACACUUCUGUUAAGUCUUCCCAGUCAAUCUUCUCUGCAGGUACAAUUAAUUGCUUAUUCCUUCUUUUGAGCUCCUAGAGCAACUAAUUAUACAUACUUCAGUAGAACUUAUCAUAUUGUAUUAUGAUUGUUUUUGAUUACAUAUCUUUCUUCAAAACUAGCCUGAAAGGUCAUGAGCUGGGACCAAUAUUUUAUUCAGUGUCAUUCCCCUUUAACUAGUAUAGUAACUGGCACAUAGUAAACUACCCUUAAAUGUUUAUCCAUUCGACUCUUUAUUAUGUGUCGUACUAUGUGCCAGAGGUUACAUCUUAGCUGGGGGACACAAGAAAAAACAUUUAUACAGGUAAGUGAAUAAAAUCAUUGCAGAUAAUUCUUAGUGAUAUAAAGACAAUAAAACCAGGGGAGGACAUAGAGGGAACUGGGAACAUGGUAAAACUACUUUACCUUACAUGGUCACAGAAGGUCUCUGAGGAAGUGACAUUUGGGCUGAUACAUAAAUGAUAAAAAUGGAGCAUCCAUAAAGACUUCUUGGCGGAAGACCCUUUUAGGCAGAAAGAAUAAGAAAUACAAAAGCCCUGAGGUGAAAUCAAGCUUAAACCAAGGAAAGGACAAAUAUUGAGCAAUUGCGUAUCUAGCAGAGAAGAGUGCCUGGGAAAUCUUCACAGAGCUGAAGUUUGAGGAAAUCAGUAGGUGUUAUUCUGUCAGAGAAGUCAGAGGGAAAAUAUUCCAGGCAGAGGGAACUAUAUAUGGCAAGGAGAAAUAUACAGUCAAAGGGGAGAGUGGUAGGAGAUGAUGUUACAGAGGUAGGCAGAAGCCAAAUAAUGUAAGUCUGUGGACCUUCGAAAAUAGCUUGGAUUUUAUUCUGAUGGCAAAAGAAAGUCAUUAAAGUCAAAAAUCAAUAUGCCAUAUGCUGUGUGAAGACCACUAUGGGUCCUGAGUAACAGAUAGAUGGGAGGGUGGGGCAAGCGUGGAAGCCCUGAGACCAGUUGGAAGACUGUUACAGUGGACUGGAUGGGAGAUAAAGGAGAUUUGGACCAGAGUUCUCAGUGGAAUGGAUGCAGUUUUCACCUUCAGGCUAUAUUGAAGGUGUCACAGGUAGGUCUUGAAUAUGAGACAUGAGGAGCACAGGGUCAAAGAUGAGUGCUACUUUUUCUGGCCUGGGUGUGUCAUGGGACCAUUUACUAAGAUGAGGAGGAGAAGUACAUUCGAGCAGGGAGAAUGGGAAGCAGAGAAAGGCCAGGAAUCAGUAGUUCCACUGUGGGAAUAUUAAGUUUAAGAUGUCUGUUAGAUAUCCAAGAAGAGAUGUCAGGUACAUGAUUGUAUAUGCGAGUUGGGAACUCAGAGGAAAGGUCAAAACUGGAUAUACUUGGGAGUCAGAAGCAUAUGGCAGGUCUCCAAGACCAUAGACCUGGAUGAGAUCACUGCAGAGAAAAAAAAAAGAGGAUGGGGAACAAUGGAGAUUGAAAAAGAACUAUUGUGAGAAGAUAAAAUCAGGAGGCUGUGAUACCAGGGAAGCCUGGAGAAGGAAAUAUUUCAACAAAGAAUAAUUGAGAGAUCAGGAGCACCUGGGUGGGUCAGUCAGUUAAGUGUCUGACUUGGGCUCUGGUCAUGAUCUGGUGGUUGGUGAGUUCAAGCCUCGCGUCAGGCUCUGUGCUGACAGCUUAGAGACUGGAGCCUGCUUCUGCUUAUGUCUCUUACUCUCUGCCCCUCCCCCUUUCUCUCAAAAAUAAAUAAACAUUAAAAAAAUUUUUUUUAAUUGAGAGAUCAAAUGAUGGGUGGAAAGCUGGCCUCUAAGAACCUUGCCAAAUGAAAUUAUUUGGUGACAUUCAUAAAAUCCGUUUUGGUGGAGUGAUACUCACAAAAGCCUGAUCAUAGUGGAUUGAGCAGUGAUGGUAAAGGAGAAAGAAGGAGGCAAGUAACGUGGGCAACUUCAAAAUUUUGUCCUGAAGAUGACUGAAGAAAUCUAUGGUAGCUAGAGAUGGCUUGAAGUCAAAGAUUUGUUUUCAUCAUUUAUUUUAACAUAGGUGACAUUAAAACACGCUUGUCAGCAGAUGGAAAUAACCCAGCCAUGAGGAAGAAAGUGAAAGAAAAUGAGAUAACUGGGAGCCAAGAUCUUUGUUAAGUUACGAAUGAAUUAAUGAAUGAAUGAAUGAAUAAGUGAGGUGAUAGAUGUGUUAAUUAACUAGGUGGUGGGAAUCUUUCACGGUGUAUAUGUAUAUCAAAUAACUACCAUGCACACUUUAAAUAUAUUACAGUAUUAUUUGUCAUUUAUAUCACAAUAAAGCUGAAAAAAUUUUAUUAAAUCUGGUAACUACUCCUUUAAAAAAACUUUUAAUAAAGAAAGCAGAAACUGAAGGAUACUUAACUUACAUAAGAAAAAAAUGAAUGGAGAAAACCCAUCAAAUAUAUAUCCCUUAAACAAAAUACAGUGAUUCUUUUUUCUGCUAUUUUCCAACUCUUUUGUCUCAGGCAUAAUUGUAAAAAUCACCAUAAUGUUACAGAUAUUUAAAAAUAUACAAUCUCUAAUUAGUAUAUCUAUCAUUCUCAUCUCAAUUUGCUGUCAGUAUUUCCCUGUUGGCAUUGACUGAAACGCUAUGAAUUGUUGGCAUUCACUAAAAUGCUAAUGGUGCUGAUUGAAAAAGUCCAUCUUCAAACAUGACCCUGGAAACCAAGAGAGUAUUUGAAAAAAUUAUAUUAAUAUAACUCAAUUUUAUUUUAUUAUUUAAAAGUUUAUUAACAUACUAAAUGUGAAAAAAAUGGCUACCUUCUAUUUGAUUUAUGAACAUAUCAGCCAAAAAAUAUCCUUGUUAAAAUGAGGAAAUGAACUGAGAGCAAAAAAUGAGGGCUUGGCCUUAGACAGAGGGGACAUUUAUUUCAUCGUAAGAGGAAGGGAAGAAGAGUACAUAGGUACUCAUAUAGGUACGAUGAUAAUUUUGGUGGUGGAAAACCAAAAUAAAAUAAGUGAAGGGGUGAAAAAAUGGUAGAGUCUGCUUAAGACUUGAGGAUUGAUUGGAUGUUAGGAAUGGAAGAGGGCUGAAAAGCACUGGAAGGCGUCCAGAAUUAUAGCUAAAUGAGGGCCAGGGGCAGGUGCUGACAACAGCACCAAUCUCUUUGUUCAUUUAUUCACUCAUUUACUCACUCACUCAACAAGAGGCAGCAUGAACAAAAUGGACACCGAAAGAACUUUCACUUGAGUUUACAUACUAGUUCUUGAGCACUCCAUUUUCAAUGAGACGUUACCAGUAAACAUAUAACUAAAUGUUGUUCUAUGGUCAUUGGUGCUUUAAGGUUCUCCAUUGUUAUACUUUUCUUGUACAUUUUAUCUUUAUAAAAUGCUUUUAUUUAUUCCACUUAAUGUUUUUGCCCUGUGAAUUCUUCCUUGCCUAGUACUUCUUUAGCCACUCUUGCUUUGAUAUAUAGAUUUUACAUAUCUUAUGCUUGCUAAUCUUGUAAUGUUGUACCUUUUUGUUUCUACGUUUCCCUGACCUUGUAUUUAUCCUUUAACAUGCAGUUGGUUUAUUGACUUUUAUCUUUAAAAAUUUGCAAAGCAGAUAACAUUAGUGUUAAACUAUUUUAGUAUACUCAUGAUUCUUAAAACUAUGGAAAUUAAAUUAUAAAAAUGGAAAACUUCAACAUUCAAUUCAGUAAAAUUUUAACAUUUAAUUGCCCGAUCAUUUACAAGUAAGAUAAAACUAUCCACAGCACAACAUUACGCUAUUUUCUACCCCAAAUUCACCAUUUGUAACUUUCACAGAGUGCUUCCACAGAGUUGAAAUGAUUUCAAAAUAAAUCAUAAAUAAAUUAGAAAAUUGUGAAUAGUAAUAGUGCCUGCUUCGUAGGGUUUUAGGAGGACUGAGUGAUUUGAAAUGAUUAUGUAAAGUGCUUAGAAUAGUGCCUGGUAUACAUAAACCAUUAUAUAAAUAUUAAUCAUCAUUCAAAAUUGAUUUUCAUUCUAUCUGCUCUGAUUCGUUUUUAUAGUGUAACUCCCUGAGGGCAACCAUGCUUCUCUUAUUUAAUAGCUGUUGGGGGGCGCCUGGGUGGCUCAGUCGGUUAAGCGUCUGACUUCGGCUCAGGUCAUGAUCUCACGGUCUGUGAGUUCAAGCCCCGCGUCGGGCUCUGUGCUAACAGCUCAGAGCCUGGAGCCUGUUUCAGAUUCUGUGUCUCCCUCUCUCUCUACCCCUCCCCUGUUCAUGCUCUGUCUUUGUCUGUCCCAAAAAUAAAUAAACGUUAAAAAAAAAUUUAAUAGCUCUUGGGAGAACUAUGUAUAAGAUGAAUAUUACAUAUGUAAUGUAUAUAAUAUAUUUACUACAUAUGUAAUAUACAUCCAUAUUAUGUAAUACAUAUGUAAUCUGUUUCAGGAUCUAGUCCAGGGUAGCACAUGCUAUUUAGUUGUCAUGUCUUCUUAGUCUCCUCCUAUCUGCAACAAUGCUUUAGUCUGUCCUUGGUUUUCAUGAUCUUGAUAAUUUUGAAGAGUGCCAGUCAGGUAUUCUGUAGAAUGUCCCUCAAUUGAGGUUUGUCUGAUGUUUUCUUAUGAUUAGACAAGGAUUAUACAUUUGGGAAAGAAUUCCACGGGGUGAAGUGCCAUUGUCACUGCAUCGUAUCAGAGUGUGCGUGAUGUCCACGUGACAACGCUGAUGAUAGUAGUCUUGAUCACUCUGUUAAGGUCGUGUCUGCCAGUUUUCUCUGCUAUGCGGUUACUACUAUUUUUUUCUUUCCAUAUUGCUUUUUCCUUUCCAUACGUUGAAAGCAAGUCAGUAAGUCCAGCUCAUACCCAAGGGUCAAGGAAUAAGAAGGAUUUCUCCCUUAGCCUCAAAUUUAUUUACUUAUUCAAUCAUGUAUUUUUAUCAGUAUGGACUUAUAGAUAUUUAUGUUAUUCUUUGAAUUACAAACCAAUACUACCAUUAUUUAUUUUGUUGCUCAAAUUUUUCCAGCUGUGGCUAUUGGGAGUUCUUUUGGGCUAACUCAUUGUCUUUCUGACAUACUCCCAAUCUUUUUUUGUUUUUAACCAUUUUUUGAAAGCAUAAUAAAUGAUGAUGCACACUAAAAUGUGUUAUAUACAAAUUACAUACAUUGACAUCUUCUAGAACUUUAAUUUGUAGCGGCAGUUACCUUCAUUAUGGCAUUCUGCAAUAAAUGCUUCCUGAGGGGCACGUGGGUGGCUAAGUAGGUUAAGCGACUGAGUCUAGAUUUCAGCUCAGGUCAUGACCUCACAGUUCUGUGACAUCAAGUCCCACAUCCAGCUGUGCAUUGACAGUCUGCAGCCAGUUUGGGAUUCUCUCUCUCUCUCUCUGUCUGCCCCUCUCCAGCUCACACUCUCUCCCUCCCUCUCAAAAUAUAAAUAAAUAAAUACAUACAUACAUACAUACAUACAUACAUACUUCCUGAUAUCACUGUUUUUAGUUAAACUUUUGUUUUGGAAAAUGAGGUUCCUUGACAUUUUUCAUGUAUUUUUCCAGUACCAAAAGAAAAAAAAAAAAGAACUUGGAAAUGACUGGUAGAAUGUUGAGUGAUCCCUGUGCUUUUUCACUGUCUGCUUCUCAUUCUCCUAAGAAGGGAGAGACCUAUUAAGAGUCCUUUAAUGAUCUUGUUUUCCUAUUAAAAAUAAUAGUACAGUAAAUAGAUCUGCUUAGAUAGAGUGAGGAGGGACCUGGUGUUGCUUUAGAAAUUCUAGAAUAGCAUUGCCAAGUACUCUCAUAAUGCCUUUCCAAAUGUUUGUCUGAGGGGUUCCUGCAGAGACUCUUCCGAGCCAUCAGACAUUCAUGAACAUGACUCUACUGGCAGUAAGGCAAUUUUCUGGAGAGAAAUGUGAAUAUGAUGAAGAUCUUUGUAUCAUCUACAAGUUAGUUCAGAAAGAAGCCAGGAAGCUGAGCUGGAAGAGGGACAAAUGAGUUUAUUUAGAAUCUUACAGAAUUAAGUGGAUUUGUAGUUUUAACAUACUUAAAAAAAAAAAAACUAGCCGUAUAAAGUACCUACGUGGUACUAGCCAUUAGAACAGACACUUUUACCUUUCUUGUAAUCUUAGAGGUUAAACCUUUACCCAAGGUCAUUUCUUUAAGGAUUUUGGCUGCAAGUAACAGAAAAUCCAAAGCCAAAGUGGCAUAUAUAGGAGUGUAAAAGGGAGCUGAUAUGUUUCAAGUUAUGCAUGGCCUUGAUCUUAUGGCCCAAGAUGGCAGCAUAUGUGUUCUAAGCAGGAAAAAGUUAGAAAAUGCCAAAGCGGGCACACAUUCUGCACUUUGGGAAGACUCCCAGAAGCUUCCCCUUGACACUUCUUUUCCCCAUUGGUCAGAACUUAGGCAUGUAGCCAUAUCUAGCUGCAGAUUACUCUGGAAAUGUAGAAGUCCUUUUUCUAAGUGGCUUUGCAUCAAGCCAUGUUUUCCAAGUCUACAAAAGGGGAAGACAGAUAUUAGGGACAAUUAGAAGUCUCCACAACAGUCAUGAGUGACAAAGAUGGGAUUUGAACUCAGAUACGUCUUACCUUCGUGUUCUUUCUAAACCAGAUUUGUUCAUUGGAGAAAGAUCUAGAAAAUGUGUUGAAUUGGCCCCACUUUUAGCACUAUCAAGUUAACUGAAAGAAAGGAACAUGCCUGUGACAGAGGAUGCAGAGAAGCUAAAGACCUGUGCACUAGAUUUCAAAGCUCCCUUUACCUGGGGACUUUACCAAGAGCAAUCUUGAUAAAUCUUCGGGUCUUCCUGGAAGGGAGGAACAAUACUUUGAGAACCAACUGUCCAUAAUUCUGGACUAGACCUGUACUGUCUGAUACAGUAGCCACGAGCUAUAUGUGGCUACUGAACACUUGAAAUGUGACUAGUUAGAGUUGACAUGUACUCUAAGUUUAAAAUAUGUGCUGUAUUUUAAAGACUUAGUACAAACAAAAAAUGAAAUGAAGCUUAAUAAUUUAUAUAUCGAUUACAUGUUCAGAGUAUAACAUUUUUGAUAUGUUGGGUUAGAUAAAAUAUGUUCUUAAUUUCAAGUUGCUUUUUACUUUUUUAAAUGUAACUAUUAAAUUUAAAAUUACAUAUGUGAUUCACAUUUGUAGAUUGCAUUAUGUGUCCAUUGGAAACCAAUUUGUCUAGGAGACAAAGAAUUGUCCUACAAAAAUCCUAUCAUUGAAACAGUUUUUCAAAAUGCUCAUAGGAUCUGUAAGAAGUUACCUCUGAGUAUUCUGAAAAAAAGGAUGGGGCAAAUAAAGGACUCCAUAUUCUUUCUGGGGUCUUUCUCUGAGCUUCAAUGAAAUGUGAAUGAUAUUGACUAUCCUCUGGGUAACUUGUAUGGAUUCACUCCAACACUUGGAUUGUACUGAGCCUCUCCAGCCCACAUUUCUGAGGCAUACGGCCAUCAUUGUUAUUAGAUGAGGUGAUUUAUUGAGAUUACUUUUUGAAAGCACCUCUGUUUGAUUUAUUCACAUCCAUGAGGGGAAAUACUUCUGGUAUAGACAUAGUAAUAACAUCUGGUCAACACAGCCUACUUGAAGAACCUCUUGAUUUCUUAAAGAUUAUUGAAAUAGAGUUCUCAAGCAUAUUUGCAAGUUAUGUAGUAACAUAGUAAGUCUUUGGCUGGCUCAGAAAAUUUGAUUUCAUUAAAGCAAAUAGGUGCUCUCUUGUUAUCCUUUUAUCUAUCUUUAGCUUCAAGUUUCCUUUAGCAGUGAUUGAUCUAGAUUUCCCAGUUGAAAGUUUAGUGUUAUAUAUGUUAGAAAAAGGAAGGAGGAUUUGAGGAGUUCUGCAUUUUUUGGUCUCUUAAUAUCUUAUCAUAUAUUGUCAGCAGUGAGUAUGUCUGUUCCUUGUUCUUCUACUCUGAAAAUGUUUUAUAUACAUAUACACAUUCUUACUUUAAAUAUUAUAUAUAUAUAUAUGUAGGUAGACAAAUAGAUAGAACCAAUUUUUAUGUUCUUAGCAUUUUUAUCCAAUUCAUCUCAUUCCAGAUUUCAAAUAUUCUAUUUGUCCAGUCUACAAAUGUAAUUAUCUUUUAUUAACUUCCCAUUAUUCAGCACCUGCAUUGUUCAUUUGAACUAUCUGCAAGUUACACUGAUACCAAGUUAAAAUAAUGCAUAAUCUAUAGCUUUUAAAAUAAACCUUUGAAAAAAGGAUUUUAAACGGCUUUCUUGCUUAACAAAUACUGUCCUUGAUGGCAAAAAAUUUAAAAGUGUGUUAAUGAUAAGAGUGAGUAAAAGGAAAUAGUGGCAGUGAAGAGAGGCAGUUGUAGCCUACUCUAAGUGGGUUAGUUAAAAAAAGAGUACCUAGGGGCGCCUGGGUGGCUCAGUCGGUUAAGCGUCCGACUUCGGCUCAGGUCACGAUCUCACGGUCCGUGAGUUCGAGCCCCGCGUCGGGCUCUGGGCUGAUGGCUCAGAGCCUGGAGCCUGUUUCCGAUUCUGUGUCUCCCUCUCUCUCUGCCCCUCCCCCAUUCAUGCUCUGUCUCUGUCUCAAAAAUAAAUAAAAACGUUAAAAAAAAAAAAUUAAAAAAAAAAAAAGAGUACCUAAGUGGUUGUCUUUUAGGUAAUUUAAGAUAUUUAAUUUUUGUAGACCACUAUCGUUUCAUCGUUCUCCAAUUCUUCUCUUCUGAGAACAGCACCAUUUAUUUUGGGACACUUGUCUGCUUUGCACUCCAACCCUCUGGUUGUGGUAUGAACGGCCAACUGUAGUACCCAAAGCAAUGGCCAUAAAAAUGACCACAUGAUGCCGAUGAGAACUUUCCCUAGGACUUUUCUGAUUAGAAUGAAGGGAAACGAGUCUGUUCUUCUGGGAAGAAUACAAAGGUAAAUGGGGUGUGCCUCACCAUGUGAUAGGUUUGAAAGCAUACCACUGACAUGCAAAGAGGAGCAGAUGCCUGGAGUUCUCUGGGUGCUUGUGUAUCUCGUUUCAUUAAUAUCGAAGGCACAGAUACAUCCCACCCUUAACGACUAUUCAGUUAUAGGAACCUAUAAAUUCCCCUUUGCCUAGGUAAAUUUGAGUUGUGUUUGUCACUUGAGGACCAAAAAAGCCCUGGCUAAUACAUUAUCCUUUUGGUAGCCAGCCUACAAGAUGACCCCCAAUGAUCCUAAACUCUAGGAGUCACACCCUUGUGUAGUAUCCUCAUAGACCGAAUAGAAAUAUGAUUGAUAAGGUAUAGUGUGCAUGAUGGUGUGUGGCUUCGAUAGCUACAGAAAGUAUUGAGACUUCUAUCUUGGUCUUUUUGAUUCCUUGCCAAGAAGGAAGGCAGCCGUCAUGUUGUAAGAUCACUUAAGUAGUCUCAAGAAGAGGCCUACAUGGAGAAGAACUAAGGCCACUUGCCAACAGCCAGUGCCAACCUGUCAGCAUGUGAACGAGCCACCUUCAAAGCAGUUCCUGCAGCCCCAAAAUAGUCUUUAGAUGACCGCAACCUCAUGAGAGACCUGAUUUAAAACCACUUACCAAGGGGCGCCUGGGUGGCUCAGUCAGUUGUAUGUCGGACUCCUGAUUUCAGCUCAGGUCAUGAUCCCAGGGUCAUGGGAUCAAAUCCCAUGUCAGGCUCUGAGCUGAGUGUGGAGCCUGCUUGGGAUUCUCUCUCUCUCUCUCUCUCUCUCUCUGUCUCUCUCCCCCUCUCCCCCUGGCCCUCCCCUGCUCAUGUUCUCUGUCUCUCUCUCAAAAUAAAUAAAUAAACAUUAAAAAAAAAAAAAACCUACCUAGCAAGCCACCCAAAUCCCAGAACCACAAGAACUGUAAGAGACUUGUUUUGAGCCACUUGUUUUGGGGUAAUUUGUUGCCCUAAGCAAAUAUAUUAUCUAUAUACCAACAGAUAAUUCAGACAGCAUUGUGGGGAUAUUGUAAAGAAGAGAGAGAAGCCUCAUACAGUGAUAUGGUUCUUCUCCAGAGAGAUGGUCAAUGACUAAGUUGGCAGCCAUAGAUACUCAGUAUUCAUUUGCUAUAUACUUUACAUACUUACCUGGGUUAUAUACAUUAGCACAAACCAUCAUAGAUGCUAAUAUCUCGAUAUAGAAGAAAAAAAGCAAAUCAACUUAUUUGAAUUCCACUUUAGAAUCUGUUAGUUUAAAUAAGAUUCUAUAUUGAGGCUUACUUAAACAUAUUAAAUCUUGGUCGCUGUUACUCAUAGAAAAAUAAAUAUUAACUUGUAGAUAUUUAAACACAUUUUCCCACUGGUUAAUACAAUAAAGGUAAGUCUUUCUUUCAGACAAAUGAAUAAUUGAGGACUUCUGCUACUAUCAUCUAAAGAGGACUCUAAUCCUUGGAUUUUCUCAUCGACUUCUAUAUCAGAAUAUUGGAUUUUUAACUUCAUGUAGAAUAAUAUGCAAAUACAAUACAAUUUUUUGGUUUUUGUUGUGUUUUUAAGCUUGGUAAAUAGCAUUGCAUUUUUACUCUUUUUUUUCUACUUUCAUUUUGUAAGUUUUCUAGUUUUGACAAUUAUUACAUACUUUAAAAGAAUAGACUCUAGUUCCACUUCCUGUUCAGAUGAUAACUAAGCAAAUGGCUGCAGGUGGUUUUUCCGUUGGCCUCAAUGUGAAGCAGAGGUUGAGAACCAACAGAUCUGUUUGUUUGUGGCCCCAGGAUUAACUGUGGUAUAACUCCACAUGCCUUCUCUGCAUUUAUUUCCCUCAUUUGUCAGAUAAGUGCCUCAAACAUGUACAAUCCUAAAAUUGUAUAAAAUUGGGAAUGUCACCAAAUAUUGAGGCUUCAAUUAUCCAACUUGUAUACUGAUAAGUCAAAAAAAAAUCAUCAACAUUUGUAUGUGUAAGGCAAUAGGUCUUUAGUCACAUUUGUGUUCUUGAUACCUGGAGUUGCAUUUUUUUAGAUUUUGUUUAUUUUUAAGUAAUACACCCAACGGGGGGCUCAAACUCAUUACCCCAAGAUCAAGAGUCACACGCUUCUCUGACUGAGACAGCCAGGAGCCCCUGGAGUUGUAUUUUGUAUAAUUAAUUUCACUGUUAGAAAUAUUUUGAAAAGGAAACAUUAUCAAUAGGGCAAAAUUAAUGUUUUAAAAUGCUGUCAUGAAAAAGUACAUAGAAGCCAAAAGUACAUAGAAUGAGUCAUAAUUAUAAAAAUGAUAGUACUUUAUAUUUGAAAAACCCAAUAUUUUCAAGAAAUUAUGGUUUAAAUUAUAACUGAUUACAUAUUAAAUAAUACGUGUGAAUAAUCUAAUGGGAUAAUGUUUUUUCUUUAUGUUCUCCCUAAUUCCUUGAUUGUACAAUGCAAAGUUUCUGGAGCACUUGAUCUUCAUAAUAGUAUAGUUUGGUAUCUUUAAUAUAGUUUAAAUAUUUGUAUAACAGACACUUUAUGUAACUCUCAGCCAACAUAUUAUUUUUGAAGCUGCUGAAAAAUCCUUCUCUAAACCAGUAAUGAAAGAUUAAGUCGCUACCAGUAGAGUUUUACUGUUCAGUGUUUGAUGCAGACAGGAACUAAUGUUUAUCUAGUUACAAUGAUCCUGAUGCAUUGUGUGUAUUUCAGUGGAUUCAUACAUCAAACCUAUGAAGGAGCUACCAUAAUCCCCAUUUUUUUUAAUGUUUAUUCAUUUUUGAGAGAGAAGGACAAAGCGUGAGUGAGUGAGGGGCAGAGAGAGGGAGACAGAAUUGGAAGCAGUCUCCAGGCUCCGAGCAAGCUGUCAGCACAGAGCCCAAUGCAGGAUUCAAACUCACCAACCGCAAGACCCUGAGCAAAAGUCGAUGCUUAACCCAUUGAGCCACCCAGGUGCCCCAUACCCAUUUUCAAAACAAAGAAAGAAAAGCAAAAGAAGGUAACUGGCACAUUUUGACAUGGCGAUAAAGAGGCAGAACUGGUGUUUGAACAUCUCUAAAACUAGCUUUCAAACAUUUUGUUAAGCUAUGGAAUCUGUUCUUGAGGCAACAGUUUCUAUGCAUGUGAAAAAUAUCAAACAGAUAAACUGGAUGCUCUGGUUGAGCAGCUGGUUUUGCUGCUUCCCUUCUCUCCCUGCCUCUCACCCUCCGCUGCCCUGUAACAUCCCCAGUUUGGAAACUGUUCGGUUAUGCUGUUAUGCCUUCUUAUUUGACUUUUUCUAAAAUUAACAAUCCUCAGUGUCCCAAAACGUUCUCUCCUAACAAGAAUAUUGGACAAGCAGAGCAACACAUUUAUGCAAGGUGCUAUUUGUCAAGCUUUAGAUAUUAUUAUUCAAGGUAGAUAUGAUGACGGUGAUGAUGAUAAUGGUGAUGAUAGAGUUCACUUUAUAUAAAAAGUGUGCAUUUGUUUAGUUUCAGAGUUAAAUAGUAACAUGUGUGCAGACCUUUUAAGGCACAUAGCCAGUUGCAUUCCUCUCUCUUCAGAAAAGCAUCAGAGUAAUUCCUCGUGAGAGGUUCCCUAAGGUGCAUGAACCAUGUGUUUUUGCCGGGUACCCUGCUUAUUCAACAGGGAUUGGCAUGACCUAAAGACUAAUGGCCUAUGAUGAAGUGUGGCACAAAAGGAGUGCCCUUUCUUCUCUCUUACUGAGUUUGAGUCUGAAACAUCCCGGGAGUGUCAGCACUGGGUAAAUGCAGAAGUGGAAAGAAGGAAGACAGGAAAGAGAAGCCAUGAGUAAGCAAAGCCAUGAGGGAGAGAGAAAGUGAGUGGAGUGUAGUCAGUGGCAAUAGAUGGAAAAUAAGCAGGUAGACAGAAACAGAGACAGAAGAGCUGAAUCAUGUGCCUGGCAAGAAGCCAAGAGUUCCUGUGAGGUCACCAAAGGGUAGCUUGUACUAUUAGACGAGAGAGCUAGUACUCAGUUACUGCUGAGUGGCUGUGACAAAAAUCUAGUUUUCCACAAGUCUGCCAAGGAGACCCUUACCUAUCUUUUCUACUUCUCCCUAUCAUAUCCUUUUUAAUAAACCCACAUUAAUUGAGCCAAGUGAUCGUUUCUCUGUUCUUUGCACCUCCAAAGAAUCUAAUUAACAUAAUAGCGAAAGCCUACACAGCUCCUAAAACAAAACAGGAGCUCCGUAGAUUGUAGCGAUUAUUAUUUUAGAAGAGAUCAUUCAAGCAAAGGCAGAAACUGCACACUAACACUCAAGUCUGGGAGUCAUGGUUGGUUUGGAUUUGUAGUCUGGUAGCUUUUUUCCCCUCUUGCUUUAAAGGUGUUUGUUGUUGUUGUUUUGUUUGUUUCUUUGUUUUGUUUUUUUAAUUCUAGGAGAGGGCCCAAAUUAGAUAAGUUAGGUGUGGAAAUAAAACAUGUGUUCUAACAAUUUGGGAGAGAUGGAUGAAUCUUUUGGGAUAUGAGGUUUCACAAAAUAUUUCAAAUUAUUUUUCAAAUAUUAUCUGCUUGGCAAAAACAAAAUGAUUUUUUAAAAGAAUUUCUCUUUUCAACAUUCAAAUGGUCUCAAGGGACAUGCACAUAUUUCUAAUUCGUUUUAGUUAACUCAGUACUGUUUAAUAGGAAUUGAUUGAUGUUUAAAAAUUCAGUAAGUUUUUUAACGAAGAGGUGUUUUCGGACAGUGAAACUGCCUUCUCAAAAAAGAGUUGACUUAGAUGUUUUCUUAAAAGGGUCUCAGAGCUCAGACUCAAACCUUACCAAAUAUUUUUCCUUCCUUUGUAUAACAGAAAAAAGUAAUCUCUGAAAAAUCUUUCUUCCAGUUAUGAACAAAAAGGCAGUAAUUGAAUUCCAGAAAAUUAAUAGGCAAUAGGAAAGAAACCAAACAUAUUCUCAAUCUAGGUGUUAAAAGGAAAGGGAAAAAAGAGAAGAACAGAGAGAGAAAGAGGAAGAGAAGGAAAAAGGCCUACUGAGAUGAUAAAGGAUUAUAGGUUUGUGAACUAAAUGACUUGUAAUCAACAACCCACAUUUUGCUAUGGAAUGCAGUAAGUCUCAGAACUACCAGGAGAGCUCAGCUGGUGUAAAAUUACACUUGAACUCUGUUCCCUUGGUACCUUAUUUUUCUCCCAUUAUAAUAGUCAUCAGGCUUUAUUGAAAUCACUUCAUAAUUGACUGUCUUUCCUCUGCACUGUAAAUUGUGUAAGGGUAGAGUCCAUUUCUGUUUGUUCCCCAUUAUUCCCACCACCCAGCAUAAUACAGGUGUUCAAACUAUUCGUUGAAUAAAACAUUAUUAUGUCCAAGGGCUAAAAACACAAGCUCCGGAAUCAAAUUCAGUCAUUUUCAACAUCUAAAGAACAGAUACAGUACCAGUGCCUGCCUCUCUGACUUGUCAUGAGGAUUAUGAGAGGAAAUAUGUGUAUGGCUCCCAAUAUGGUGCGUGGCAUAUUGUUAGUGCUCAAAAGAUGUUUGCUGUAAAAAUAAUCACUAGUAUUUCCCAUGGCAAUGAAUCUAAGCAUUAUUCUUCGAAAAAAAAGUUUCUAUAAAAGCCAAGUAAAGUUAGAUUUUUUUUAAAACACACAUUGUGAGUUAGUCAUGCACACUUUAUUAGCACAGCUUAAAGCGUUACUGGUGAUGCUCUCUUCAAAUUUCUUUUAUCUCCAAUUGGCUGGUUGGCCAUUCUCACCAUUAGUGAGUCAUUUGAGCUUACUCAUUUCUGGCUAAAUUCAGUUGGAUGAAGCGUGGCAAUUCUAGAUUCUUCCAGCCUAAUAAUUAUGUCAAUUGUCUAAAAGGAUGACCAUGAUUUAAUGGUUACAUAAUCAAGAAUUCCUAGAGUAAGAUUUUUUCUUUUUCCAACACUGGCAUGACUCUGAUCCUGAACACAGUGUACUUGGGUCACUCCAGAGAUGUGGCCACCACCCAAAUGUCCCUUGGACAGAUGACACAGGGAUUGAAAGGCCAUCAACAACUGGCCUGUAAGUCCAGGAAUAACAUUAGGUUUUAACUGAACCCAAUCACGUGGCUGGAAGACAAUAAUAAGAUAUUAUUAUUUAAGACAUAUUAUAUGUAAAUUUCUAAAACAUGGAAUCUGAAAAAAAAAAAAAAAUCAUUGGACCUGAGAUUAAACCCAGUUCUGCCUUGGGACGCCUGGGUGGCUCAGUCAGUUAAGUGUACAACUUUGGCCCACUGUUUUUCGAGCCCCACAUCGGGUUCUCUGCCAAGCCCGCUUCGGAUCCUCUGACCCUCUCUCUCUCUCUCUCUGCCCCUCCCCCAUCCACGGUCCCUUUCUCUCUCUUUCUCUCUCUCUCUCAAAAUAAAUAAACUUUAAAAAAAGUUUUAAAAAACACCAGUCAUGCCUUGCAUUCAAUGCAAAGAGUCUAUGCUUUGCUGCCCUCCUAGUACUUGCAUACGGGAUUUAUAAGAUAGAAACCAUUAUGUGGAUGGGGUCUUUUGUUUCACAGCUGGGUUGUAUACUUUAUGGAAAUGGGAGUAUUGCCAGUCUUAUUCAUUGUUCUAUCUUUUCCAUUCAAUCCAAUGCCUGGCAUAAAGUAAUGCACAAUAAAUGUGUAUGAAAUGAAUAGAUACAUGCCCCCUUCUCUCUGAUGGCCUCUGGGAAAUGCAGUGAGUAGAUAUCAGUAAUUAGUCAAACAUAUAUCAUCGGCUACUGUUUUCAUUAAGGUCUUCAAUCUGCAAGCAGUACAGGAAAUUACUACGUUAGGAGCAGGACUAGCCUUUUGAUGGGAGCAUGAUCUGAGGGCUGCUGGGAUGCUCCCCCAGUCUCCCUACCAUAGCUCUUGCACAUACAUACACUUUAAAAUGCUCUCCAUUCACUAGUCAUACUGUCUAACUUGCACCACUUUAAAAACCGCUCCAUUGAGUAAAUAAAUGUUCAUUUAAGGAAGGUGAUAAGGAGAAAGUACCUUACUGCAUAGUUAUCCUUAGUGGGGGAAUAACUCUAAUAAAGGGGGUUGUGUCUGCUGGAGUCUGCAAGGAAAGCCAAAGAACAUGAUUCUAGAAGGUGGGGUGAUGAUUGUGCACCAGUGGAUGACAUGAGGACUGGACCACAGUGACUGAGCUCUUCACUCAGCGGCUUUAUAGACAAGACAGUUGAGCCCACUUCUGCCAGAUUGAAAAGCCAGGCCUCGGAGUACUCCACUAUGGAACAGAUGCUGGCAAGCUGUUAGCAUGGGUCUGCUCUUAGGUUCGGAAUUCUGGGAGAUUAGGAACCACAUCUGACCUGCUCACUGGCACACUGAGCAUCUAACUCAGUCAUACCUGCACACAGUAGGUGCUUAGUAAAUAUCUGUAGCUUGAAUAAGUAAGGCGUGUUUUGUUUUAAGGAUUUCAUUUCCUAAUCAGUCUGGGAAAAAAAUGCAUGUAAGUAAAGAAACCCCCAAAUUGGCAGCUAUAAAGAUUGCAAAGCCUUACAAGAGAAAUUCUUAUUCCUAAUUUCCUUUGCAUUUUAUUUCUAUUUUUAUAAGUCAUGCAUGGUUUUAUUAAUUUAUAAGUAAGAAAUAUAUUUCUAAAAUCGAAAAAUAAUUUAAAACUUUUAUUUCACCACCUACUAUUUUUCACCACUAAUAGUUCACUGAACAGCCUUCACACAUACGCAAACAUACGUUUCCUGUAACAGAAACAGUAUCAUACAAUUCUACAGUCCACUGUUUUCAUUUAAUGAUAUAUUGGGAAUACAUUAUAAGAAAUAAUACUUCUAUGUCACCUUUCUUACUAGCUAUGUGACAUUCUUAACGGGCCAUACUAUCGUCUAUACUAGCAAUGUCCUACAAUCUAUUUUUUGCUUGUACAACUAUGCUAAAUAUCUAUCUUGUUUUUAAACAUUGAACAAGGUUUUACUGAAUGCUAAGGUUAACCAGAGAGAACAAUAGAGAAAGCAGUUCAAACCUGGAUACUAGAGCUGGUAACUCUCAGAGUCCACAGGCCCAAAGCCCUUUGCAGGGUUCCCCCAAGGGCCUGGAGGCCAUCUCUUCCCUUAAUCAUAGACUGCUGCCCCACUGUAGAGUUUCCUUACCUCUAUCCACCUUUUGAUUUAUCUUUAGAAUAGACCUCUGCAGCUUAUUUUUUUGGGGAGUCUCAUUAUCCAUUGUCCACCUCCAUUUCCACUCUCCCUUUUUCUUCAUUCCCAGUCAGAAUAUGUAACCCUAGCAGGACAGAACAGUUUUCAUCAAUUCAAGAAGAAAAUUUACAUGUCAGGGUGACCUACCAGUUAACAACCAGCUUAUUGCCUUCUGCCCAGCUUUUUAAGGCUUAUACUCUUAGGUGAUGAAAGAGAGUUUCCUGGUGCCUCUUAAAUCACUUUUCAAUGUCCUUAACCACCCCCAUAUCUCCUCAGCCAAUAUCCUGAGUGAAUCUUGCAUGGGCACAGGCCAUGCCACAGUAACCCUGUGCCACUCCUGUUCUGCAUGCCUGAGUCACCACCACAAAACUUUCUCUCUGUAGGUCCCACAUUACCUGCUGAUGGGCCCCACGCCAACAUGCUGAUGUUUUUCUAACUUUAGGAAUGCCACAGGCCAUGUCUCCACGGAACAGAGAGAAAAAAUUAUUCAAUUCAACAACUAUCUUUUGAACACCAGAUACUAAGCAAGACAGAGUUGGGGACAGGGACAGGGAGUAACGACAUUGAGAGAGUAAGAGACAUUAAAGCACGGACAACACAUUGGCAAGUAGGUCCGAGAAAGGCAACGUGACACAGAACCUGUUAGACUAUAAGCUACAUGAAGCAGGGAGUUUUGUUUUGUUUGUUGGUUUUUUUUCAUUUGGUUGGUUUGGUUUGGUUUGGGUUUUGCACUGCUGUCUUCCCAGUGCCCAAAAUGACUAGUAGAGAGUAGAUAUUUGAUUAAUAUUUGCUGGAUGAAUGAAUGGAUAAGAUAUGACUCUUGUCCUCAAGAACUUCAUACUCUAGUAAAAGAGACAAAAACUGCACAGUAAGUGCUCCUAUAGGAGCUCCUGUAGGGAUAAACAGAGUGGGAGUAAAGGUACCAGAUCCAGUAUUGAUGUGAUUUAAGAAGGCUGGGGACUACACAGUUUGGUUUUCCCAGUUUGCCAAUGCUGUGUAGUAAGGCUGCGAGGGUGUUAAGACAAAUCGUUCUAUCUCCUGGCCAAAUGGUACCACUCAAGAAACAAACUGUUGAACAGAGUCAAACUUUUUAUUCUCAGUCAGUUUAUUACUAGUGUGUAGCUGUAAUUUAGUUUUUCUUCAUGGCUGGACAUACCUAUAGUAUGCCUAUUUCCAUUCUAUUGUGUAUCAGUAGAGUCCAAACAUACAUUUCUGUAAGUUAUUUUAUUUUAAAUUUCUGUAAAUUAUUUUAAUAUAACCUCCCUUUUUAUCACUGGUGUAGGCGUUAUUCUUUCUUUUUUUUUUUUUAAGUUUAUUUUAAUUUAUUUUGAGAGAGAGAGAGAGAGAGCAAGAGGGGGAGGGGCAGAGAGAGAGAGAGAGAGAGAGAGGCAGAAUCCCAAGCAGGCUCCCUGUGCUGCCAGCAUAGAGCUUGUCUCUGGUUUCCAACUCACAAACUGUGAGAUCAUGACCUGAUACCAGGAGUAGAAUGCUUACUUGACUGAGCCACCCAGGCACCCCAGCGUUGUUCUUUCUGAUCCAAUAUUAAAGUGAAGCAGAGAAGGAGAAGAGGAAAAGAAAAAUAGCAGUCGAGUCCCCUGGGAACAACCAAACCAGAAGGAGGGAGUCUACGGAUUACUGAGUUACUAGGGGGCCUGAUUUCUAAAAACUGCUCUAAAUACUUAAAGGGAGAUUUUCCCAUCACAAAACAAACUAGAAAUUAAAAGUAAAGUUACCAGGGCACCUGGGUGGCUGAGUCGCUUAAGUGUCUGACUUCGGCUCAGGUCUGGAUCUCACAGUUGGUGGGUUUAAGACCAACAUCGGGCUCUGCGCUGACAGCUCAGAGCCUGGAGCCUGCUUCAGACUCUGCGUCUCCCUCUCUCUGCCCCUCCCCAGUUUGCACUCUGUCUCUCUCUCUCUCAAAAGUAAAUAAACACUAAACAAACAAACAAACAAACAAACAAAUAAAUAAAUGAAAGUUAACAAGCCUUUCAUCACAUCAUUCUAACCUAAACAUGUGAGUGAGAAGUUCGAGGGUCCAGCUCCAUUGCCAGCUGUGCUUUGGACUGUAUGCUGUCAUAUAAAAUAAUUUGUGUUCUACCUUGAAAAUCCCUGGGUUGAGACCUAAAAAGAAGAAACUAUUCUUUGAGCAAGGAAAAUCAUCUCCUAAAAUGAAAGCAAAUUAUGCUGUUGAACAUGACUUUAAGGGUCCUUGUUCCCAAGAAAACACAGAAAAGCCUUUUCUAGCAGAAAUUGUCAACUACCAGAGUACCUCUGACUCUAAACAUAUUGUUGGCUCCCACAGAUUCCUACAGGAGCAAGACACAGAUGGCUUAUUAUAUUGAGAUUCUUGAAGGGCUCUCUGUAUGUUGAUGAUAUUAGCUUAUGCACAUGAAUGACAUGGCUUAAUUUGCAGAUAAUAGACAACAAGAGCAUUCAGUGGUAAAAUAGAAUGUCACGUGGACUAUUAACGUUUUUAUUAUGGAAAACGCAGAGCGGUGUGUAAAGUUUGGGGUGAAUGUGUUUACCUAUGUUUAUCUCUCCGUUAAUGGUAUGGAUGCUUUGCAACAAAGACUUGCUGAAUAUAAAUUGAGGCUGGUGGCGGUCAUACAUUAUGUAUACUAUUAAAGAGCUAAUGCCACAAAAGCCUGCAUUUCCUGGGUAACAAAACGUUUAAUAUAGAAACUACAUAAUUUCACAAGUCAACUCAAGAGGUUAAAGCUGAUGGAUAAUAAAUUGAAAAAGAGUGUUGUGAAGAAUUCAUCCUGUUUUAUUUUUCCAGUAGACAGGCAAAAUAUUCAUUUCUUUAACUUGUUAAUGCUUUAGACUAGAAUUAUUCUCUAAACAGGGUCGGUGCUGUUUCAUAGAUCCAUAAAAUUUUGCUUACGAUGCGUGUAACAUUCUUUCCUCUCAUUUGUUCAGUUCCAGCAGCAAUGCCUCUAAUGAAAAAAUUUCAAACUGAAUGUCUAACAAAAUGAUUUUGUGUUUCUCUUUUCAAGCACUGAGGAGAUCAUGCAGGAAAAGCAAAUAAAUCAUUCUCUUUUGGGGUGAAAGCAUUCAUAUUUGAUAAGUGAUUUGAAAGUAAAAUGAGAUUUUAUGUAAACAUUUUACAUUUUUUAUGGACUUAUCUUUAUUGAUAUUCUUUUCAGGAAAGAGUCAUUACUAAAAGAAAUAUGCAUGUAUCAAAAAUAUGUCUGACAUAGUACAGUUAUUGAUCACUUGUGGUAGAGAAAUAAAGAAACCUUGCAAAGUGAAUAUGAGAAAGAACCUGGUGAUAAACAGUUUCCAGGAGAGUGGCAUUAAAGACAAAACCAAAAACGUUUUGCUUUAUGUGAACAUAGGACUGUUACCUAGAAACACAAUCCAAAAAAUACAAAGGAGAAACAACAAAUUACUUGGAAAAAACAAAACCCAGAAAAUUCACUAGUAAGACUCUGUGUUCAGAAUGUCAUCUGUAUCGCCCCCUGGAUGGCUGCCAAAUCACCAGACUAGCAGUGCGGUUAUGGGAUCUAAGGCAUAAUCUUUGUUUCCCAUUCUUGCUCCACCCCUGAAAUUCUUUUCUACCACAUUUAAAACAUCAAUUGGUAAUUAGUUUAGCGUUUCCUAUGUACGUAGGGGCCCCAGGCUCUAGUGAAAUCUUCUAAAACUGUUUAUAACAUAUUCCACAGUGGAGAAAAAAACAAACUGACAAAUGACCCCCACCUUUGGCUUUACACCCUUCUGGCUGGGACCAUAUGUAAAAAAAAAAAAAAGUGAAACUAUUUUGGUGUGCCCGCUGCUGAGAACAGGAGUUGUAUAACCACCUUAGAGAAUAACCAGAGCCAGAUUGCACUUUUCAGCAUUUUGUAGGGAGGCACAGGAUUUAUAUUCAGCAUAUAAUCUUGGCAUAUAUUAAUGUAUGGUUAUUGAGUAUCUGUUCUGUACCAGGUACUAAGCUACUCUCUGUGGAGGAUACAAAGAUGAAUGGAAUUAUGUUUUCAAGAGGCUUACAAUAAGUAGGGGACCUGAAAUAUUAUACAAACAGCUAUAAUAAAGGUAGGUCCAAUAUGAAACUGUGAUAGCCUGAUAUAUUCAUACACACCUUCAAAGAAAAAUAGCUUGAAAUUGUUACUUUACAUAUACGUUAUACAUCCCGGUGUUUUAAAGACUAGAUCUGAGACCCACACUCAAAUCCAGAAACGGUCUGGAGCACAAGCUUUGCCCAAGACAGGAGUCCAAAAUUGCCAAGUGCCUCACUGACCGCUUGAUUGGGUUCACCAUCCAGAAGUUUGAAUGUGAGACAGGCGGAGAGAAUAAGUUUAUUGAUAAUGUGGCUGAAGUUGAAGAAGUAGAGAGAGAAGCUUACUAUGUCAUUGUGACGGCAGAAAAUCAGAAUAAGGAGCAAGCACUGAUGUCCUACUUGAGCAGAAGGAAUGGGGAUGGCUAUCCAAGCAGAUAGCUAGCGCUCCUUCUGAGCCUGGAGGGCCCCGAGCACGACUGUGUCUUGAAGGUGAGACUGUUCUCCAUGGAUCUCCUGUUGAGACAAUGGUUCUAUUCUGGGUGACCCGGGUGUGCCUGUUCCUUGCAUGCUGAGGAGACCCCUCCCAACACAACAAAACUUGGGAGGUUUAAAGGGUUACAUGCAUCGGCCUCGUUUUGAAGUUUUAGCCUGGACACAUAGAGGACUCACAGAUAUUGGACUGCUUAUUGAACAAGAGACAUAGGUAAAGUACAAUGAGACUUAAGAAGAGUGUAAAUUAUCCCUUGCUGAGAGAAUCAGAGACAAGCCUUCAAGACACAGUAUCAUCUGAGCAGAGCCUUGAGGUCAGUCAGAGGAUGCCUACUUGGAAGUGAAGGGAGGGACUGCUCCCUGAAAAUACUCUCUUAAAAUGGGACUUUUAAGCUGCUUUUAAAAAUUUUUUUUUAUUUGACAUUUAUUUAUUUUUGAGACAUAGAGAGACAGAGCAUGAACGGGGGAGGGUCAGAGAGAGAGGGAGACACAGAAUCGGAAACAGGCUCCAAGCUGUCAGCACAGAGCCCGAUGCGGGGCUUGAACUCACGGACUAUGAGAUCAUGACCUGAGCCGAAGUCGGUCGCCCAACCGACUGAGCCACCCAGGCACCCCUAAGCUGCUUUUAAUUUGUUUUUAAUGUUUAUUCAUUUUUGAGAGAGAGAGAGUGAGACAGAGUGUGAGCAGGGGAGGGGCAGUUAGAGAAGGAGACACAAAAUCCAAAGCAGGCUCCAGGCUCCCAGCUGGCAGCACCGAGCCUGACUUGGGCCUCAAACCCAUGAAUGGUAAGAUCAUGACCUGAGCUGCAGUCAGAUGCUUAACGGACUGAGUCACCCAGGUGCCCCGGGAGUUUUAAGCUGCUUUUAAAGUAUUCCACUGUCAUGAUACUUUUUAAAGCUAUGUUGAAAAUACAUUGGAGAGAACUUUAUGAAAAGAGCGGUUAAAGGGUUGCACCUUUUGAAGGUAUUCACUUCCCCAUAAACCCAAGGACUAGGUCUUAUACCCGGCGCUUUCCCUGAAGAGAACAAGUCUUUGCUAAUGCAUGAGGAUUAGGGAGGAUUCAGACCAGGGAGUAAGGAUGACAGGCAGCAAAGUGUUAGCGGCUGGGCAAGUAGGGAAGUCGUUUAGCCUUCAAGUCAAGCACCAAAAGAGGGAUAUUCAUGGGAAAUGAGGUUGGAAAAGUAGAUUCAGAUUUGAAUGUUAUUCUGUAGGUAUUUAUUCCGGAGGCAUUUAUGAAUUCUAAACAAGGCGGGGCAUGUCAGUGUUCUACUUCAAGAGGAUUCACCUGAAAAUAGUAGAUGAAGUGGACUGGAAGAGUCAGUGGGGGCAAGUUAGGAACCCAGUGCAAAAGCCUAGGUGAGACGGAGUGUGGAUUAUGGUCAGUGUAAAACUACAUCUACUGAACAGUGUUACUACUUAGUAUUUGUGUUAGUGUCUUGCAUUUAUGUCCAUCUUCAUUAUUUAUUUAUUACAACUCUUUACGGUAAGUCAGUACUGCAGCAAUACUACACAUCUUUCUUUAAUUUAUAGCAAUGGGAUCGCAUGCAAGGUGCAAAAUUCCACAACAGCUUGCUUCUUCCACAGCACAUAAGGAAAAAUAAUAACCAUUCUACACAUUGUUUACUAUUUUGGGUAGAGAUGUUACUGAAACCUAACCAGUCCCAAAUUCUUUCACAAAGUAGUGCUUCUCCCCCACCCCCCACUCAGAUGCUUUGAGAAUUCUCAGAUUUGAGCAAACACCCAAAAGCAAUCGACUUUUGGACGGUGAGUUUUACAGGUUAAUGUCUCAGGGCAGAACACUGAACAGGUUGGGAUUUUAUAAACGCACAUUUCACCCUGUUUAAUUCCGUGCAUUACAGCCGCCUGCAUCACACGAUCUGAGAGCAAGCUUGUGAUGAAUGGCCUUCACGUGUUCUGCUCUAGAAAUACUUGAGAAAGAUGGCCCAACAGUCUACUGAUAACGGCAUCAAAGUUCUUCUUUCUUCUUUUGCCUUAUUUUACAGGAUUUCUGGUUUUCCUUAGAAAAAGAACCAGACCAAAGUGUUCUCAGUCUUUUCCAUCUGAGACACAAAUGAUUGGAGAUAAUCACAUGCAUCAUACACAUCCACGAGAAUGAGCUGCGUUUCCAACUCAGGAAAGCAUAUGAACAUGCAUUUCAGUUUGGGAAGCAGAACUGACCAUGAAUGACGAAGUUUAAGGCCAACUCAAGUAUGAAAUACUUUAGCAUUAACUACCAAUGACUUGUGGACAUUCUUACCACUAAAUACAUCUCAACACCUUGCUUAGUUGAGAGCUGCUAGCCUAAAUGAUCCUGUCACCAUCAAGCAUUACUCAGUUUUGGUAAAGCACACUCAACACAACAUACUCCCCCUCACUAUCCACACACGUGCAUAUUCCCAGUCUUAACUAUACAUAGACCCUUAGAUUUUUCUCAUUCUUACCUCUGUUUUCUGAACUUUGAUUUUCCAAACUCUCAAUAAUUAUAUACAAUUACAUAGAAUUUGCUCUUUGAUUUUAGAUAUAAGUACAUUUGAAAAAAUUAUUUGGGAGUGGGGCACCCGGGUGGCUCAGUUGUUUGGGCAUUCGACUUUGGCUCAGGUCAUGGUCUCACAUCCAUGAGUUCGAGCCCCACGUCAGGCUCUGUGCUGACAGCUCAGAGCCUGGAGCCUGUUUCAGAUUCUGUGUCUCCCUCUCUCUGCCCCUCCCCCACUCACACUCUGUCUCUCUCUGUCUCUCAAAAAUGAAUAAAUGUUAAAAAUAUUUUUUGAUUAUUUGGGAAAGAGAGAGCAGGGCAGAAGGGCAGAGGGAGACAGAGAGAGAGAGAGAGAGAGAGAGAGAAUCCCAAGCAGGCUCCAUGCCCAGGGCAAACCCUGAUGUGGGGCUGGAUCCCACAACUCUGAAAUCAUGACCUGAGCUGGAAUCAAAAGUCAGAGGCUCAACUGACUGAGCCACCCAGGUGCCCCUUAGAUAUAAGUACAUUUAAUCACAACAAAUUUUCAUUUGCAAAACUGGAUUGGUUAUUGAGAGUUCAUUUUGUUUUAUUCAUUUUCAUCAAACUGAUUUCAGGAUAGUAGGUAUUCUAAACCAUAAGGGGAAAAUGAGAUAUAUACAAAAUAUGUUUGAAGGUAGUUUAGUACCUUCUCCCCUAUAAAAUCAAGAGAAUUUGCAUUCUUCUCUAUUAACAGAGCUCCUUAGAUAAUCCUACCAUUAACCUUUUUUUUAUGUUUUAUUUACUUUUAAGACAGAGAGAAAGAGAGAGAGAGAACAUGAGUGGGGGAGAGGCAGAGAGAGAGAGACACACACACAGAAUCCGAAGCAGGCUCCAGGCUCCGAGCUGUCAGCACAGAGCUCGACACGGGGCUUGAACUCAUGAACUGUGAGAUCAUGACCUGAGCCGAAGUUGGAUGCUCAACCAACUGAGCCACCCAGGCGCCCCUUUUAACUUUUAAAAAUACAAGCUGUGUAACAUUCUGAAACCAGAAAAAACAAUUGAGGGGAGUAUCCAUUUGUCCUUGUUUGUUGAUGUCAUAGCUCAUCUCAGGAUGGUUUUCUAGAAGUACAUAUUAAUUAUAUUUUAGUAUAUUUUCUUGGUUGGCCACAUUCUUAUCAUCUGACACAUGUCAAAGUUCAUUUUAGGAUUUCUGCAUUUUUUUUUAUUCAAAAAAUAUUUUUUUGAGGGUCUACUCUGUGUUCUGGUGAUGGGAAUUCAAUAGUGAAUAGAAAAGACCCAAAUCUUAGCUCACGUAUUGCUUAGUUUCUAGUUGGGGGAAGAUAGACUGUGAACAAAUAAAUAAGUAAAACAUAUUGUGUGACAGAUGGUGAUAAGAUCUGUGGAGAGGAGCAAUGCAGAUAAAGGAAAGAGAGAGCUCUGGAGUGAACGUUGCAAUUUUAAAUAAGGUGGCCAGGGACCUCACUGAGAAAGAGGCAUCUCAGCAAAGACCUGAAGGAAAGGAAAGAGUGAAUCAUAUGGUUACCCGAGGAGAGGAGCCGUCCAGGUAGGAGGAACACGAAGUGCAGAAGCCCUGAGGUGAGUGUGUGCUGGUCCGUCUAGGGAACAAGAAAGGAGGCAUCAAAAGAGGAGGAGCAGAUGUAAUUAAGAUCCUUAAUCACUUGACUUGGAUUAAAAGGGAAAUUACAAAGAGUGCCUAAAGCUAAGAGUGCCACAAGAAGCAGAAAUUGCAGAUGUGCUCUAACGCCUUAAAGCAAACUGCCAUGUUGUGAAGAUGGUCAUGGCAGGCUUAGCUGAGGACCUCACUACCACAACCACAACGAGUGAAUUCUGCCAACAACACUCAGUGAGCUUGGAAGAGGACCCCAGCUCCAGAUGAGCUCAUAGCCCUGGCUGAUGUCUUCACUGCAGUGUUGAGACACUGAGAAAAGGACCCAGUUAUGCUCUGCCUAGACUCUUGACUGUGAAAACUGAGAUAAUCAGUGUUUAUUAUCUGAAGAUGCUCAAUGCAGCAAUAGAAAUCAAUAUAGCUAGCAGAAAGUAUCGAGAACUUUUAAGUUAAGACAAUAGGAAUAGCAGAUAAUAAGGAGCCUCUACCCCUAGGGCUGAGACAGAGCACCCAAAGAAGAGAUGCUUUACUUGCCCCUAAACCCCACACCCUGGGCUGGGAUCUAGAAGUUGUGGGAUAGGGCAGCUGUGGUUCACUCAAAAUCAAAGAAGUUGCUGUGGUACUGCACUGGCAGAAUUUGUUGAAAAUCUGCCUUGUGGAACUUACUGGAAAUCUGCCCUCUAGGAUAAGGGUCACCAAACUACAGCCUGCAGCCUGGCCCACCACCUGUUUUUAUACAGGCUAAGAGCUAAGAAUGGUUUUUGUGUAAAUGGUUGAAAAAAGUCAAAAGAACAUUUCCUGGUGUGUGAAAGUUGCAUGAAAUAAAAAUGUGUCUAUAAGUAAUGUUUUAUUGGAGCACACACACACAAAAGAGGAGGAGGAGGAUAUACCAUUAGGAAAUUAGGGGGGCUACUCAUAGGUCAUUUUGAGGGUUUUGCCUUUGAAUGAGAUGGGAAGUUAUUGGAGGUUUUGAACAAAGAAGCAACAGGGUUUUAUUGUGACGGACCUGAACAUCAGUGGAUAAGUUUGAGGUCACUGAAUGAUGACUUCUAGACAGCCAAGGUGAUUUAUGGAGCUGGGCUAAGAUUUAGUCUGAGAAGUUUCAUAGUUUUUUGUUUUUGUUUUUGUUUCUUUGUAAAAAAAGGAAGGAAAGGAUGGGGAGAGAGGGAAGGAAGAGGAGAGGAUGGAAGAAGGAAGAGAGAGAGAAAAAAAUCAAGUAUUGUUGAGACAUUGGGAAUAGAAAUUUUCGUGGUAACAUUAUCCAUACUCCUGACGAGCUUGACACGUUCAAACAAUCUGGAAAAUAUAUACAGAUGGUUCCCAAUUUACCAUGGUUCAACUUACAGUUUUUUCUUUAUGAUGGUGAGAAAGCCAUACGCAUUCAGUAGAAACCAUACUUUGAGUUUUGAAUGUGGAUCUUUUUCUGAGUUAGUGAUACUCAGUAUGACCCUCUCUGCUGGUGCUGGGCAGUGGCAGCCACAGUUCCCAAUCAGCCACACAAUCACGAGGGUAAACAACCCGUGCACUGACAACCAUUCUGUACCUGUACAACUGUUCUGUUGUUCACUUUCUAUAUACAGUAUUCAAUAGAUUACAUGACAUAUUCAACACUUAAUUAUAGGAUAGGCUUUGUGUUAGAUGGUUUUGUCCACGUGUAGGUUAAUGGAAGGGUUCUCACGUUUAAGGUGAGCAAGGCUACGAUGGGAUAUUCGGCAGGUUAGGUGUGUUCGAUGCAUUUUCGACUUACGAUAUUUUCAAUUAAGGAUGGGUUUAUUAGGAUAUAAGUCAAGGAAGAUUUGUGGUGUGUUUCUAGCCAUAAUAAAUACAUGAUAGUUCUUUGUUUUUGCUCACAGCUUUUCUUCAAGCCAGGACAAGUCCUGCCACCCUGUCAGUUCAACUGUCUGCAAAACGCACAAAAAAUUGUAUUUGGAAACAUUUCCUUGGCAUUCUGGGAAAUUCAAUUAAGUAAUGUCUGUAAAGUACUUCAAGAUCCUGAAAGACAAAAAACUGGGAAAAAAAAAGAGUUUUCAAUUAUUGCAAGGAAGUACAUUAUUUGGGACAUCUGUUUCACCUUUAUAUAUUAUCGUAGUGAUAAUUUCUCCCCAAUACUAUUUCAAUAGAUAAUGUCUAAUAGGGACCCAAGAGAGCCUGUUCUGAGAAUGUUCUGAGAAGAAAAACAAUAAUUUUGGAAAAGCUAAUUAUUGCACUGGUUUUUAUUAACUUUGGCCCUGUUUUAACACCAAAAAAAAAAAAAAUUAACAAAAAGUUCUUUUGAAGAGCAGUUCUCAAAGUGUGGUCCUGACACCCCUGAAAGUUCCAAAACCUUUUUAGGAGGGCUGCAAGGUCAGACACAGUUAUAUAAUAAUACCAAGCUCUUAUUUUCUUUUUUCACCUUCAUUUCUGAGUGUACAGUGGAAUUUUCUAGAGGCUGUUUCAUAUCUAAACAGAUAGAAUUGGGGCGCCUGGGUGGCUCAGUCAGUUAAGUGUCCGACUUCGGCUCAGGUCAUGAUCUCGCGGUUCCUGGGUUUGAGCCCCUCAUUGGGCUCUGUGCUGACAGCUCAGAGCCUGGAGCCUGCUUCCAAUUCUGUGUCUCCCCCUCUCUCUGCCCCUCCCCUGCUUGUGCUCUCUCUCUGCCUCUCAAAAAAUGAAUAAAUGUUAAAAAAAUUUUUUUAAAUAAGUAAACAGAAUUCAGGAGCAGAUAUGAGAAUCUAGCUUCUUGUAUAAAGCAGACGUUAAAGAGAUUUGCAAAGAUGUUAAAACAAUGCUAUUCUUCUCACUACUUUUAAAUGUGUAGCUAUUUUUAUAAAAAUGUUAUUUGUGCAAACAUGCAAUGAGUUUAUUACUGUUAUUUGAAAUGAAUGAAUACAGAACUCCAUAAUUUUUAAGUGUGCGAAAGGAUCCUGAAAUCAAAAAGUCUGAGAACCACUGUUUUGAAUGUGAGUGCUAAGACAGCAGAAGUUUUUUGUUUUGUGCAUCAUGCACCGAGUAUCCCAGAGUUCCUGGUAUGUAGUAAGUGCUCAACAAAUAUUCGUUGACUGAAUAUAUGAAUGAAUGAAUGGUUACUAACAUGUCAGAUGAAUAUGGGCUUUUUAAGGCCCUGAAACAAACAGUAAUUUUGGGGUUGUUGAGGAUUGAACAUACAUUAGGAUGGACUUAUUUUAUGCACCCGUUAGAAUUAUUUGUGACAAGAAUUCUGAAUAAAGUGAAGUAAUCAUUUAUAUUUCCAUCUGCAGCCUCUCCAUGCAUUUACAGACCCCUGAUAUAAGAAAUAAUCACCUUUGCAGUGAAAACCAAGAAACUCUUCUGGGUCUUCAGCAUCUGAAUGGCUGGUCCUCGUAUAUUUUUGUACAUUCACAAACUCCUGUAUCUUAGCUUUCACUGGACGUCUGACAAGGCAAAUCAUCUUCGUUUGACAAAGAAGAAUCUGCCAAAAAGAGGACUUGCUUCUUUCAAGUGAGGACAUAUGGAUACUAAAUUAGAUGGUCCCAAAGGGUUAAUGCUCCUAGACUCUAGAAUUAAUGUUACAACAUACCUAAUAAUUGUGAUUAAAGAGAAAAGACAGAAACUAGGAAAUUCAGGCCUGUAAUUAAUAGGUAGUCCAAUGAGCACCUCCUUCGAGAACUACAGGAAAGCAAUUAAAAAACCUAAUAUGACUUUUAAUAUUCUUAAAAACAAAACAAGAUUAAAUAAAGUACUAUUGCAUUAGGCAGAUAGAAACAAAAGCAAGAGACUUAAAUUGAUUUGCAAAGACCUCACUUAGAGGGGGUUAUUAGUUCUAUUAUUUUCUUUAGGGCAGCUUAUCAGCAAAUCUUGAUUAAGUAACUACUAUAUGCUAAACUCUCCCUGGCUCAUAAAAUCUGAGAAUUCAGUGGUCCCUGGCUCAUAAAAUUUAUAUUUCCACAAAGGAAGAGACAAGCAAACAAAUAAACAACCACGGUAAUUCCAGAUAUGAUGAGUGCUUAAGUAAAAGAAUGAAACAGGCCAUUGUGUUAAAGGACGAUUAUUUGAAGGGUAAGAAGUGAGGGAAUAGGGUAGGGAGCGCUGAUGUAGACUGGGUGUUGGGGGAUCCUCACUCAAGUGGCGGUAUUAAGCAGACACCUGAAAGGCAGGGAGAGGCUUGGUGGCAGGAGCAUGCAAGUGUAAAACCCCAAAGAGGUUAGAAGAAAAAGGUGGCUACUGCAGUUGGAACCAGAAAGGAGACGAGUCCUACAUGGUGUGUUCAGAGGCCCAUAAAAACCCCGUCAUUAAAUAGCUUGAGGAAGUUUGAAUUUUAUUUUUGAGUGCAAUGAAAAGCCUUGGAAGAGCUUGAUCUAAUCACCAGACUCAAUUAGCAUUUUGAAAAGAAUCAGUGUGGCUGCCUCAAGGGAACUGGAUUGUAGAGGAGCAAGCAUAGAAGCAAGGACACCCGUUGGAGAUGACUGUUCCUGUGGGACAGGGACGAUGGAUGGUGGUUUGGACUGCAGUGGUAGCAGUGAGGAAGAGGGCAGGAGGACAGAUACGGGUUGAUGUGUUUUUUGUUUGAAAUUGUGCAUAAAACUCGUCUGGCUCAUGUGAGGAGUUUAACAAAUGGUAGCUGUUACGUCACUGGUCUAUUCUUAAGCAAGAAGCUUGCAGAGAUUAAGGAAUUUGUUCUAAUUUACAGGAUUAGCAAAUUCAGCCAGUGCACUGUUCCCACUGUCACUGGAUACUGUCACACCAUUCACAAAACAUCUUACCUGAGGUCUUUUUCCUUCCAAUCUUUUCUGCAUUUAGCUGCCAUUCUGAUCUUCCUCAGACAUUGCUUUCAUCGUGUUUAUUUUGCUGAUAAGCACAUUAUAUGUAUUCAUGCAGUAAUGGAGUAAUUGCAUCAAACUAGGCUUGCAUGGGUGGGUGGGGUUCACACACCUAAGACAGGGUUUUUGCCUCUGGGAUUUUAGAAUUUACGUGGGGAGAUGUGAUUAGCUUAUACAAAAUAAUAUAUAGAGAGAGAUCAAAAAGAGAUGGCAUAAUUAACAGCUUUCUUCUAGAUCUGGAAGAGAGAAUUUCAGUAAUGAGAGAGGCAAAAAGAUGCUAGGUAAAAAGAGAAGCAAAAACAACAUCCUGGGUUUGUGGCAUAGAGGGGAUACACUUGACAGGAGAGCAUCUGCUCUGGGAAGGUGGAAGACAAAGUCACAGGGCAGGAUGGUGUCAGUCUGUGCACGUUGUGAGCAAAAGCUGGGCAUCAAGGGUUUGGACCUGAUUCAGCUACAUAUAAAGCAUUAUUGAAGAUGUGAAAGCAAGAUUUGGUCAUAGUGAAGGCUUUGCUGGGACUAGUGAUCAUUUCUCCUUCUAAUUUCUAAGGUAAUUAUCAUCAUCUUUAGGUACUCAUUAGGUACUUAGCUUGGAACUCUUUGCACUUUAAAACUAUAUAAUGUGAAUGACUGCAGCCUAUAUGGAGUAGGUACCAAGUAAAUGUUUGAUGAUGAUGAUGAUGAAAGACAUGUGCAAGGAAGAUUAAUUUGGCAACAGCAUAUGGCCUGAAUUGAAAAGAAGAAAGCCAAGAGGAAAAUCACAAGGAAGUUGUUCCAGGAAAUGUAAGCAUGAAGGAAAGGAUGUGGAAGAGACAUAUAUGAGCAAAUACUUAGGAAGUAUCAUUAAAAGGAGCUGAAGCAGUUUGAAUGUGGAGUGGGUUAAAAAUUAGUGUAAGUUUUUAAAUCUAAGUGUUUCAAAGGGCCACAAUGCUGCUCAGGUAAGAUGGAAAAAUUGGGAGAGGGAGUUGAUUUGGGGAAAUAAGUUGAUUUGGGGAAAUCGGCAUCCAAGAUGAGAGGACAUUCAUUUAGAAAUGGCCUAGAAUUUGGCUAGAUGAGAAGGAAGUGACUAUGUAGAAAUGGGGCUGAAGUUUUGUUAUAAUUUUGUUCACUUCAACAAAUAUUUAUAGAAGCCCUACUAUGUGCUAAGGGCUAUGGGAUACAGGGUCAAAUGAGGUAGAGACUUUGAGAAUUUAACAACCUAAUGGGGGGAAACAUAUGCAAAAAGGGAAUAUAAAGUCUAAUGAAGUAAGUGUCCAGAGGAGAUUAUAUGCAGAGAAAGUGAGUUAAAUAGAACUUAUCAUUGGUACAAACUUCCCACGAAAGACAACUGAUGGAGAGUCCAUGAAAGCACCCAUAGGUAGCUCCUUCUGCUUAAUUCUUCCUGCUCUAUGACCUGCUACUCUGGCCACAGUUGUCUGGACUCGGGAUUGGCCCCCAAAUGAAGGCAAUCACCUCUAAGCCAGGCAUAAAGAAGACCAGCCACCAGUUAGGUGGCCCAUCAGGAAAAUUGUGCCCCAUAAAAGACUUUCUUAUUGAAUAGUGAAUGACAGAUACAUUUAGAUCUUCUCACUUGGGAUGUUGUAAAUGUAAGUCACAGAGAGUAGUCACUAGAAGCAGAGAUAGCAGCUGAAGUUGAGACUGUAUAUGAGGAAGAAGCAGAGAGAUGCUGAUUCAGGAGAAUGGCAAAAUUAACCAGAGUGUGGGCAAUAGAUGCUUGUUAAUGAGAGGAUGAGCGAGGCACCAGAGCCUGUUGCUGGAUCAUAAAAACAGCAGUUAAUUUCUGGAAUCAACACUAGUUCUGACGGUUGAUACGGUUUUCUGAAGUUUCCUUAUUUCCUAAAUAAACCCUCAGCAUUUGUAGGGCUCUGACUCUGAACAUGUCCUGGUACUUUAUGUCUCACACAAGAGCCCAGCUAGCACAAAGGAAUUCCUGUUGUUUUGGCUUUGAUUAUAUCUACAGAAGAAGGAUCUUGUGAAGGAUAGGCCAGAAUGAUCUUCAUAAAGCAAGAUAAAAGGAUGCACACAAGGGUCUGAAUGUAUGUGGCUGCUUUCCCAGAAGAGUGCAACAGUGGAGGGUAAAAACCUCAGUUACCUCUUAGAGCAAGCCCGGAAUCCCCAAGUUUAUACUUUUUGCAAUUUCUUCUCUCUUUUCCUGUCAUGAUCACCGUGUAGGUUUGUGUGCUUGUCUUGGGGGAGAGCAAAGAAAAGGAAAGGAAAAGGAGAGCCAUGGAGACUAUUCAAUGCAGCCACCAAGCUUUGGAAGAAAACCCCUGAAGACAGUACAAAGUGCGGCCACCACAAGCAAUGUGAGUGUCUAGAUCAGGGUUUUUCAGUGUACACACUGCUAACCACCAGUUUAGGAUCAUCUGAUUUAUUAAAAAUGAAGAUUUCUAGAUUACCUUGGACCAACCGAAUGGAAUCUCUGGG